rnacentral:rRNA from 1 species
UAUACAUGCAGUCGAGCGGAUUGAUGGGAGCUUGCUCCCUGAUAUCAGCGGCGGACGGGUGAGUAACACGUGGGUAACCUGCCUGUAAGACUGGGAUAACUCCGGGAAACCGGGGCUAAUACCGGAUAACUCAUUUCCUCGCAUGAGGAAAUGUUGAAAGAUGGCUUCUGCUAUCACUUACAGAUGGACCCGCGGCGCAUUAGCUAGUUGGUGAGGUAACGGCUCACCAAGGCAACGAUGCGUAGCCGACCUGAGAGGGUGAUCGGCCACACUGGGACUGAGACACGGCCCAGACUCCUACGGGAGGCAGCAGUAGGGAAUCUUCCGCAAUGGACGAAAGUCUGACGGAGCAACGCCGCGUGAGUGAUGAAGGUUUUCGGAUCGUAAAGCUCUGUUGUUAGGGAAGAACAAGUACCGUUCGAAUAGGGCGGUACCUUGACG